AAAAGUGGCCAUACCACGUUGAAAACACGCCAUCCCGUCCGAUCUGGCAAGUUAAGCAACCUUGAGCCUGGUUAGUACUUGGAUGUAAAAGCGUAUUGCUAUAAAAAGGAAGACAUUCA
rnacentral:rRNA from 1 species